UACAGAGGAUGCAAGCGUUAUCCGGAAUGAUUGGGCGUAAAGCGUCUGUAGGUGGCUUUUAAGUCCGCCGUCAAAUCCCAGGGCUCAACUCUGGACAGGCAGUGGAAACUACCAAGCUGGAGUACGGUAGGGCAGAGGGAAUUCCGGUGGAGCGGUGAAAUGAGUAGAGAUCGGAAAGAACACCAACGGCGAAAGCACUCUGCUGGGCCGACACUGACACUGAGAGACGAAAGCUAGGGGAGCGAAUGGG
rnacentral:rRNA from 1 species